rnacentral:misc_RNA from 1 species
UGGUUCUGGCGUCGAUGAAGAACGCAGCGAAAUGCGAUACGUAAUGCGAAUUGCAGAAUUCCGUGAGUCAUCGAAUCUUUGAACGCACAUUGCGCCCAUUAGUAUUCUAGCGGGCAUGCCUGUUCGAGCGUCAUUUCAAACUUCAAGCUCUGCUUGGUGUUGAAGCCAGCGAAUUUCGCGACUUCCAAAACUAUUGGCGGAUCUACAACGAUCUAGACUUAGUAAUAUUUCUAGUCUGUGAUCUCUUGUAUCAUCCUGCCUCGAAGUCUUUCCAGUUCUGCUGGAAGAAUUUUAUCAGUUUGACCUCGGAUCAGGUAGGAAUACCCGCUGA